GACAGAGGUGCCGAGCGUUAGGCGGAAUCACUGGGCUUAAAGCGUGUGUAGGCGGAUUGGUAAGUACCUUGUGAAAUCCCACGGCUUAACCGUGGAACUGCUGGGUAUACUGCUUAUCUUGGGCCACUUAGGGGCUAGCGGAACAAACGGUGGAGCGGUGAAAUGCGUAGAUAUCGUUUGGAACGCCAAUGGUGAAAACAGCUAGCUGGGAGUGUGCCGACGCUGAGACACGAAAGCCAGGGGAGCGAACAGG
rnacentral:rRNA from 1 species